CCUACGGGAGGCAGCAGUGAGGAAUAUUGGUCAAUGGGCGGGAGCCUGAACCAGCCAAGUCGCGUGAGGGAAGACGGUCCUAUGGAUUGUAAACCUCUUUAGGCGGGGAGCAAUGCCGGGCACGCGUGCCCGGAUGGAGAGUACCCGCAGAAUAAGCAUCGGCUAAUCCCGUGCCAGCAGCCGCGGUAAUACGGAGGUUGCGAGCGUUUUCCGGAUUUAUGGGGUUUAAAGGGUGCGUAGGCGGAUUUUUAAGUCAGCGGUAAAAUGUCCGGGCUCAACCCGGGCCGGCCGUUGAAACUGGGGAUCUUGAGUGGGCGAGAGGUAUGCGGAAUGCGUGGUGUAGCGGUGAAAUGCAUAGAUAUCACGCAGAACUCCGAUUGCGAAGGCAGCAUACCGGCGCCCGACUGACGCUGAGGCACGAAAGCGUGGGGAUCGAACAGGAUUAGAUACCCGGGUAGUC
rnacentral:rRNA from 1 species